UACGUAGGUGACAAGCGUUGUCCGGAUUUACUGGCGUAAAGAGCGCGCAGGCAGUCGUUCAAGUCGAGUGUGAAAGCCCCCGGCUCAACUGGGGAGGGUCAUUCGAUACUGAUCGACUCGAAGGCAGGAGAGGGUAGUGGAAUUCCCGGUGUAGUGGUGAAAUGCGUAGAUAUCGGGAGGAACACCAGUGGCGAAGGCGACUUCCUGGCCUGUUCUUGACGCUGAGGCGCGAAAGCUGA
rnacentral:rRNA from 1 species